CAUUAAGAAGCUAUGAGACAGCGCUAGCCUUUUAAGCUAGAGACAGAGGAAAUACGCCCCUCCUUAAUGA
rnacentral:tRNA from 1 species